AACGAACGCUGGCGGCAGGCUUAACACAUGCAAGUCGAACGCAUCCUUCGGGGUGAGUGGCAGACGGGUGAGUAACGCGUGGGAACGUGCCCUUCAGUUCGGGAUAACCCAGGGAAACUUGGGCUAAUACCGGAUACGUGCGAGAGCAGAAAGAUUUAUCGCUGAAGGAUCGGCCCGCGUCUGAUUAGCUAGUUGGUGGGGUAAUGGCCCACCAAGGCGACGAUCAGUAGCUGGUCUGAGAGGAUGAUCAGCCACAUUGGGACUGAGACACGGCCCAAACUCCUACGGGAGGCAGCAGUGGGGAAUAUUGGACAAUGGGCGCAAGCUUGAUCCAGCCAUGCCGCGUGAGUGAUGAGGGCCUUAGGGUUGUAAAGCUCUUUCGUCCGGGACGAUAAUGACGGUACUGGAAGAAGAAGCCCCGGCUAACUUCGUGCCAGCCGCCGCGGUAA
rnacentral:rRNA from 1 species